GCCCCACUAGUCUGGGAUACCACUUGGAAACAAGGUGCUAAUACCGGAUAAGAAAGACGGAUCGCAUGAUCAGCUUUUAAAAGGCGGCGUAAGCUGUCGCUAUGGGAUGGCCCCGCGGUGCAUUAGCUAGUUGGUAAGGUAAAGGCUUACCAAGGCGAUGAUGCAUAGCCGAGUUGAGAGACUGAUCGGCCACAUUGGGACUGAGACACGGCCCAAACUCCUACGGGAGGCAGCAGGG
rnacentral:rRNA from 1 species